UACGUAGGGUGCAAGCGUUAUCCGGAAUUAUUGGGCGUAAAGAGCUCGUAGGCGGUCUGUCGCGUCUGCUGUGAAAACUGGGGGCUCAACCCCCAGCCUGCAGUGGGUACGGGCAGACUAGAGUGCGGUAGGGGAGAUUGGAAUUCCUGGUGUAGCGGUGGAAUGCGCAGAUAUCAGGAGGAACACCGAUGGCGAAGGCAGAUCUCUGGGCCGUAACUGACGCUGAGGAGCGAAAGCGUGGGGAGCAAACAGG
rnacentral:rRNA from 1 species